rnacentral:rRNA from 1 species
UACGUAGGGUGCGAGCGUUGUCCGGAAUUAUUGGGCGUAAAGAGCUCGUAGGCGGCGUGUCGCGUCGGAUGUGAAAGCCCGGGGCUUAACUCCGGGUCUGCAUUCGAUACGGGCAUGCUUGAGUGUGGUAGGGGAGAUCGGAAUUCCUGGUGUAGCGGUGAAAUGCGCAGAUAUCAGGAGGAACACCGGUGGCGAAGGCGGCAUCCUGGACCGGCAUUGACGCUGAUGAGCGAAAGCCAGGGGAGCAAACGGG